CACCGCCAGUUGCUACUACCUAUUGAAUGAUUUAAUGAGGUUGUUGGAUUGGUGUCGUUGUAGUCGCUUUGCCGCUCUACUGAUGCUUAGAAGAUGACCUAAUUUGAUUAUUUAGAGGAAGUGAAAGUCGUGAAAAGGUUUCCGUAGGUGAACCUGAGAAAG
rnacentral:ncRNA from 1 species